UACGAAGGGGGCUAGCGUUGCUCGGAAUUACUGGGCGUAAAGGGCUCGUAGGCGGCCAACUAAGUCAGACGUGAAAUCCCUCGGCUUAACCGGGGAACUGCGUCUGAUACUGGAUGGCUUGAGUUUGGGAGAGGGAUGCGGAAUUCCAGGUGUAGCGGUGAAAUGCGUAGAUAUCUGGAGGAACACCGGUGGCGAAGGCGGCAUCCUGGACCAACACUGACGCUGAGUGGAGCGAAAGCCAGGGGAGCAAACGGG
rnacentral:rRNA from 1 species